rnacentral:rRNA from 1 species
UACGGAGGGUGCGAGCGUUAAUCAGAAUUACUGGGCGUAAAGGGCGCGUAGGCGGCUCAAUAAGUCGGGUGUGAAAGCCCCGGGCUCAACCUGGGAAUUGCAUUCGAUACUGUUGAGCUAGAGUGCGGGAGAGGGAAGUGGAAUUUCCGGUGUAGCGGUGAAAUGCGUAGAUAUCGGAAGGAACACCAGUGGCGAAGGCGACUUCCUGGAUCGACACUGACGCUGAGGCGCGAAAGCGUGGGGAGCAAACAGG